CGGAGGGUGCAAGCGUUGUCCGGAUUUAUUGGGUUUUAAAAGGGUGCGUAGGCGGUUCUUUAAGUCCGGGGUGAAGCCCACUGCUCAACAGUGGAACUGCCCUGGAAACUGGCGAAACUUGAGUACAGACGAGGGUGGCGGAAAUGGAUGCUGUAGCGGUGAAAUGCAUAGAUAGCAUCCAGAACCCCGAUUGCGAAGGCAGCUGCCUAGACUGUAACUGCGCUGAGGCACGAAAGACGUGGGGGAGCGAACAGGAUU
rnacentral:rRNA from 1 species